rnacentral:tRNA from 1 species
GACUCCGUAGCUCAGUGGUUAGAGCAUGCGAUUGCAGAUCGCAGGGUCACGUGUUCAAAUCACGUCGGGGUCU